CUCAACCGAGUGAUGCGCUGGAAACUGUUGUGCUUGAGUACAGGAGGGGAUAUUGGAAUUCCAGGUGUAGGGGUGAAAUCUGUAGAUAUCUGGAAGAACACCGGUGGCGAAGGCGAAUAUCUGGCCAUGUACUGACACUGAGGCACGAAGGUGCGGGGAGCAAACAGGUUUAGAUACCCUGGUAGUCCGCACAGUAAACUAUGCAUACUAGGUGUUGGGUGAAAGUCCAGUACCGAAGCAAACGCGUUAAGUAUGCCGCCUGGGGAGUAUGCUCGCAAGGGUGAAACUCAAAGGAAUUGACGGGGGCCCGCACAAGCGGUGGAGCAUGUGGUUUAAUUCGAUGAUACGCGAGAAACCUUACCAGGGCUUGACAUAUAUAGGAAUGUGGUUGAAAGAUCACAGCUGCUUGCAGCCUGUAUACAGGUGCUGCAUGGCUGUCGUCAGCUCGUGCUGUGAAGUGUGAGAUUAAGUUCUUCAACGAGCGCAACCCCUACUGCCUGUUACCAACAUUAAGUUGGGGACUCAGGCGGGACUGCCGGUGACAAAUCGGAGGAAGGCGGGGACGACGUCAAGUCAUCAUGGCCCUUAUGUCCUGGGCAACACACGUGCUACAAUGGUUGGUACAGACCGAAGCGAAGGUGCGAACUGGAGCUAAUCGUAAAAAACCAAUCUCAGUACGGACUGGAGUCUGCAACUCGACUCCACGAAGUUGGAAUCGCUAGUAAUCGCAUAUCAGCAUGAUGCGGUGAAUACGUUCCCGGGCCUUGUACACACCGCCCGU
rnacentral:rRNA from 1 species